CAUCGCUUAAAGCUUUGCAAACUUCAAAAGGGAAGCUUUUUGGUAGAGAUUGUUUUGCAGCAAACAUUGUUGUUCAGUUAAAUAAACUCCGUUACAAGGAUGGUAAAGGUGAUCCAAAAGGCUUUGUCACCUUUUUGGACGAGCAUGGUCUUCCUAGAGGACUUAUACCACGCUAUAGGGGAAAUCGAUUGCACAUACUUUUCAUACAUGUGGAACUUUAAUACAUCACUACCAGAAACUUCAGAGUUUUCUGUUUUCUGGAGUAGUGUUAUGUGGAGGACUGAGAAAUAGUCUUUUCCAAGACUUCACAUCUGAUACAGGUAUACGCGAGAUGUGUGCCCUAGGUUUAAUUGGAAAGUUAGUGACUGGUCCCUGGAUGAAAAAAUUCUAUGUUGCGCCAGGACAAGGACUUGACUAUUUGUCUGGCAUCCAAGUAAUCAAAAAUGUUUGCAAUGCACUUGUUGAAAGCAGUGCAUAAGUUCU